AGAGUUUGAUCAUGGCUCAGAUUGAACGCUGGCGGCAGGCUUAACACAUGCAAGUCGAGCGGGGAAAGGUAGCUUGCUACUUUACCUAGCGGCGGACGGGUGAGUAAUGCUUAGGAAUCUGCCUAUUAGUGGGGGACAACAUCUCGAAAGGGAUGCUAAUACCGCAUACGUCCUACGGGAGAAAGCAGGGGACCUUCGGGCCUUGCGCUAAUAGAUGAGCCUAAGUCGGAUUAGCUAGUUGGUGGGGUAAAGGCCUACCAAGGCGACGAUCUGUAGCGGGUCUGAGAGGAUGAUCCGCCACACUGGGACUGAGACACGGCCCAGACUCCUACGGGAGGCAGCAGUGGGGAAUAUUGGACAAUGGGGGGAACCCUGAUCCAGCCAUGCCGCGUGUGUGAAGAAGGCCUUUUGGUUGUAAAGCACUUUAAGCGAGGAGGAGGCUACCGAGAUUAAUACUCUUGGAUAGUGGACGUUACUCGCAGAAUAAGCACCGGCUAACUCUGUGCCAGCAGCCGCGGUAAUACAGAGGGUGCAAGCGUUAAUCGGAUUUACUGGGCGUAAAGCGCGCGUAGGUGGCCAAUUAAGUCAAAUGUGAAAUCCCCGAGCUUAACUUGGGAAUUGCAUUCGAUACUGGUUGGCUAGAGUAUGGGAGAGGAUGGUAGAAUUCCAGGUGUAGCGGUGAAAUGCGUAGAGAUCUGGAGGAAUACCGAUGGCGAAGGCAGCCAUCUGGCCUAAUACUGACACUGAGGUGCGUAAGCAUGGGGAGCAAACAGGAUUAGAUACCCUGGUAGUCC
rnacentral:rRNA from 1 species